GACGAACGCUGGCGGCGUGCCUAAUACAUGCAAGUAGAACGCACAGUUUAUACCGUAGCUUGCUACACCAUAGACUGUGAGUUGCGAACGGGUGAGUAACGCGUAGGUAACCUGCCUGGUAGCGGGGGAUAACUAUUGGAAACGAUAGCUAAUACCGCAUAAUAUUAAUUAUUGCAUGAUAAUUAAUUGAAAGGUGCAAUUGCACCACUACCAGAUGGACCUGCGUUGUAUUAGCUAGUAGGUGAGGUAACGGCUCACCUAGGCGACGAUACAUAGCCGACCUGGGAGGGUGAUCGGCCAAACUGGGACUGAGACACGGCCCAGACUCCUACGGGAGGCAGCAGUAGGGAAUCUUCGGCAAUGGACGAAAGUCUGACCGAGCAACGCCGCGGGAGGGAAGAAGGUUUUCGGAUCGUAAAGCUCUGUUGUAAGAGAAGAACGGGUGUGAGAGUGGAAAGUUCACACUGUGACGGUAUCUUACCAGAAAGGGACGGCUAACUACGUG
rnacentral:rRNA from 1 species